rnacentral:lncRNA from 1 species
ACACGAUAAUUGCCCUCCUAGGUAUUUGCCCAAGAGAAGUGAAAGCAUAUGUUGCUACGCAGCUUGUACACAAAAGCUCACGUCAGCACUGCUCGUUAACAGCCCCAAACUGGAAACCACCCUGAUGUCCACUAAUGGAGAAAGAGAUGAAUGGCGAUAUAUGUACAUCUACAUGUGUAUCCGCAUUUCUCUGCAAUACAAAAGGAGCAAACCACUGCUAACACAGUGUGGACUCCCAGACCAUGACUGUGAGGGAAGAAGGCGGAAACGAGUGUGCAGCGUGCAAUUUCAUUUUUAUCGUAUUCUGGAAAUGACAACGUUCUGAGCCACUACUGCUGGGUGUCUGCUCCUGGGGUACCUGCUGGCCCUGAAUCACCCCUCUGGAUUCCUGGGACUCCAGGAACUUUGGGAUCCAGAGAAGCGAGCUCUUCCAUCCCAGGACCCAUGACUGCCCACGCUGUUGAGCUUCUGAGGGCAGGGACCAUGUUUUCUCUCUCAGAGCCAGGGCUGCAUGUUGGAACUGGCCCUGACAGUGUCAGUUAAACUUUCACGAAACAAAUGUUCCUGAACUUGAAGCCAUAGGACAGGACUCUGAAGAUCACAGAAUCACACAGUGAGAAAAUGAUGCCCUUUUCAGCUCUGCACCAGUCCUUCUCAUGACAGAAAGGAGAGUGUCUCGGGUUGGUUCGAGGAUGUCUUUAACCCCUCUCAUCGUUGCCCGUCUCGACACAGAACCAAGAACAGGCGGGUCCUAGACUCAGACUCUAGUGGACGAAUGUGUCCAGCAAAAGUAACAGCAUUACUUUAUUUUACAAUUAUCUUCAACGUAUACCAAGUGAUACUGGUUUUCCAUUUAUAAUGGCAAUGUAGCUUCCCUUGAGUUUGUUUUAAAUUUUAAUUCAAUUUCAGACAUACGGAAAAGUUGCGAGCAUAGUAGAGUUCCUGGAUGCCUUUCA